AAAGACAGCACUCGGGACUACACGGCAGCAGCAGCAUCUUGGGCAGGCAAACACCAUAGGCAGCGUCGGGUGCGGACACAACCUCUACUUGAGGUCCUCUGCGACGAAAUCCGGGUCCUCCUCUGUAGCAACGAAGCAAGGGUGAGUACUAACGUACUCAACAAGUCCAACCCCAUCCACGGAGGGGGAUACAAGCAAGUUUAUGCACGAGUAUAACAAGGAUAGGCUAGGGUUCAUUUGCGGAAAAGCUAGAUUUUAACACAUGCAGGGGAUCAUUUUCGAAAAGGUUUUUGUAAAGUUCCCUUUAAUACCCGAAAUACUGAGUAGGGUUGAUCCUACGCAAAGGAUCCAAGCUUUUAUCGCUAUCGGACUCCCCGUCCGUCAUAGCGCACGGCACAACUGCCGGACUCUUCUGAAAUUUCCACACACACACACACACUCAUGACAUCCUUGCCCAAACACUAGUUAUGUGACCAAGCCGUAAUUCGUCCAAUGCCGUGGACACGGCUACCCGGAUAGGUUUUCACUCUGCAGAGGGUGUACACUUUUCCCACAAGUAGGGUACCGCAGCACGAUCACCUUAGUGACGGUACGGAUCCUACAAAGCCAUUACCCACCUUAGCUAGGACUGGCUAGUUCUCGCGGAAACACCCAAGGGGCUCACGGCUCGUCCAAGCGACCGUAGCCGGGACUUAAGUCACCAAGAUCUUACUCCUUUUCCAUGGGUUCCCGUUGCUCACCAGCACCCCUGAGGACUAACAGUUCAGCUAGUGGGAUUUAUGCUAAGCCGUUGCCCAUACAACGGUCGAGUGGUUGCACGAUAGUGGAAUUAGGCAAGAUGACACAUCAACUCGGUCCUUAAUUAUGACAGGAUGGAUAUCUCCCGACAUUACUCAACCACCAAGGUACGAGCACAACAACGUGGCAUCCCACACAAGGAACACCUAUCCAUCCCGUCUACACAUCCUUUUUCCCGAACCCAAAAGCCAUUCCUCUUACUUGGACACACACACACAUUUAUUUUCCGAAAACACCAUUGUAAUAAUGAUUGCAAUUGAGUAACAAUUUCCUAAGCGUUCUAGCAGUGGUUAUCAUCUAAACAGAGCGAGUCAUAUUUAGAGAUAAGCACAGGACAACAAGGAAUGUUCAUAACAAUCAAGGGGUGGCUAUCCAAUCAUGUCCUGCGGUGAAAUAAUAUGCACUUUGUAAAACAGGGCAAUAGGUUGUGUUUGAAAAACUAGGUAUUAAGUAUGCAUCAAAGGGUGAGAUUGGACUUGCCGUCUUCAAAGCCUUCUGCGAGUUCCGGCUCGCGGUACUGGUCCUCGGGCUCGGGCUCGCGAUAAAACUCUUCUUCGGGCUCCUCCUCGGGCAAUCCGCGAUCUACGGCACACACAAACAGACACACAAAUAAAUAAAAGAGGAAACGAUUUUUAACCGUGAGCUCCGAACAGGAAACGCGAACGGAAAAUAGGUAGAAGGAUUAUUUUUGGGAAAUUUGGAUAUGGAUCGGCGAAAGUAUUCUGGAGGAUGACGUGGUAAAAUUUGGGAUUAAUUGGAGGGAGUUUGGCGCAUGAAAUGACGGGUUAAUCAUUGAUUAGGGGCUUAAAUGGAGGUUUAGGGCUGGUUUUUAAUAAACUAGGGACCUAUUUGUAAUUUCUUUCGGAAGUGGAGGGGCUUAUGUGUAAUUUGGGGAAACUUGGGGGUCCGGAUCUAAAACCAAAGGAAGUCUUCCCUUUCUUCUCCAGGAACUUGGAGAUGGAGAGGGAGAGAGAGAGAAUGGGCCGGCGGCCGGCCGGGCCGAGCGUCGCCGGCGGCGAGCCGGGGGCGGCGGGCGGUGGAGGAAGAAGAGGGGGGGCCCGUUUUGCCCCUCACCUUGGGGAGGAGUGGGGAGGGAUGACCGGGCGUCGGUCUCCGGGCGGAGAAAGGGGCGGCGGCAGCUUGUGGCGGCGGCGGUGGCUUCACGGCGGCGGCGGCGGCUUACGGCGGCGGCGGCUUGUAGUAGGGAGCGGCGAUGGUGCUGGUGGAUGAGGAGGUUGGCCGUGUGCCGGGCCUUUUAUAGGCCGGCGAGGGAGAGGCGGCCGGCGUGGAGUGGGGCCAGCGAUGGCGUGCGGCGGUGGCGGGCGGCGCCGGGGAAUCGGUAGGGGCCGGCGGUGGCGUGCUCCCACGGGUAGCGGGCGGCGCCGGGGUCGGUAGGGGCCGG
rnacentral:lncRNA from 1 species